GAUGGUUCAAGAUGAACAAAAACUGCAGAGUUUCUGUUGAAUGAUGCGGAUGGAAGGGCUGGGUUUGACUACCUAUCUAAUGUCAUGGACUUUCAGGCCUGCAGAUAUUGAAGUAUCUGCAGAGGCCACAGCUACUGUGCUUUGUGGCAGCCACUCACUUCAGACUCUCCAGUCGUGUCUGGACCAAGCUUCCAAUGCCCCACAGAGGAUUUGACAUGCCCCACAAAGGAUAGGAUAUCUGACCAAGACAGAUGGCAAAAUGGAAACCCCUCCGUAUGACCUCUACAUGUUUGAGGCGCUUUGCUUUUGAAGGACCGGUCAGUAUUAUCCAGCCACUCCCCUUCGGUAGUGUUUCCUGGGGAGGAUUUGGUCACGGGUAUUUGUGCUGGGGUAACAGAGACAUUAGACUUCUGUAUCAAUACUCAGCCCUUCACACAUGCUGUGAGAUUAGUAGACAUUCCCUCUGGAUCUUGGGGCAUCUUUGGGUUUGGAAGUCAGUAUUCCCCACUCACUAAGGGGCUAAGUGAGAAAGCAAAUCUCUUCUCCAACAGGGGUUAAAGCAGUGGCUUUCUGCCUAACUUUUGCCCUCCUGUGGCAUUUUUCUCAUAAGGUAUGAUUUAACUACCUUUGUAUGGCAAGAGAGAUGAUUAGCAACGUUUUCUUAACAAAUUUCGCAUUACUAAUCAUACCAGGAGACAGAAAAAUGGAUGUCUGGUAUCCUUUUGACAACAUUUGUGGUGUUAAUCACUAACCCAUAACAGGAGCACUCCAUGGAAGUUGUUAUCUUGCCCCCAUUUGAGAAACGCAGAUAUAGAUCUAGCUUAUUGUUUAAAGUGGGGGUCCAAAAGGGGAUUGCAAGGCUAUGUGGCAUGGGGUGUGUGGCGAUCACCUUUUUUUUUUUUUUUUUCCUUGCAUUCAGAGCAAGGGAGCAUAUGCAGUUUCCUUUAAUCUUUCCUCUUUCUGUUUUUGAAGUAUCUCAGUAAUAUCAACCACUACCAUAAAGAAGAAUUCAAAACCAUUGCAAAUAAUGUCAUAGGAUGGAUUUGGCAGAAUAGGUGCAAUACAAAGGAAUUGGCUCCCUGGUGUAUAUUACUACUUUUCAAGUGGCUAUUUUGUCCCACAUUCCUUGUUUUCCCAGCAGGAUAGAUUUAUAGCCAAUCUAGAGAGGAAGGGAGGGAACUCCUAGAACAAAACAAAAAUAUUUGUAAUGCCAAAGAACCUUGGGCAGUAUAGCACUCCCCAA